rnacentral:lncRNA from 1 species
UUCUUGUAUUGCUUUUUUCUUUUUCUUUUUUUUUCUUUUUUCUCCCUUUUUUUUUAGCAGGAUCGACCUCGAUUCCUCUUUCGCUCACAAUAAGCCCCAGCAACUUACCGGACCACACUCCAAAAGUGCACUUAUUCGAAUUCAACCUUAGUUUGAACUGUCUCAACCGGUCGAACAACUUGGCCCGGUCUACCGAAUGCCCCUCUCCUGUUUAGGACUUUGCUAUCAUGUCAUCAACAUAGCAUUCGAUUUCAUGAUGAA